GAACGCUGGCGGCGUGCCUAAUACAUGCAAGUAGAACGCUGAAGAAAGGAGCUUGCUUCUUUUGGAUGAGUUGCGAACGGGUGAGUAACGCGUAGGUAACCUGCCUUGUAGCGGGGGAUAACUAUUGGAAACGAUAGCUAAUACCGCAUAACAGCUUUUGACACAUGUUAGAAGCUUGAAAGAUGCAAUUGCAUCACUACGAGAUGGACCUGCGUUGUAUUAGCUAGUAGGUAGGGUAACGGCCUACCUAGGCGACGAUACAUAGCCGACCUGAGAGGGUGAUCGGCCACACUGGGACUGAGACACGGCCCAGACUCCUACGGGAGGCAGCAGUAGGGAAUCUUCGGCAAUGGGGGCAACCCUGACCGAGCAACGCCGCGUGAGUGAAGAAGGUUUUCGGAUCGUAAAGCUCUGUUGUAAGAGAAGAACGUGUGUGAGAGUGGAAAGUUCACACAGUGACGGUAACUUACCAGAAAGGGACGGCUAACUACGUG
rnacentral:rRNA from 1 species